rnacentral:rRNA from 2 species
UGCAAGUCGAGCGGUAGAGAGGUGCUUGCACCUCUUGAGAGCGGCGGACGGGUGAGUAAUACCUAGGAAUCUGCCUGGUAGUGGGGGAUAACGUUCGGAAACGGACGCUAAUACCGCAUACGUCCUACGGGAGAAAGCAGGGGACCUUCGGGCCUUGCGCUAUCAGAUGAGCCUAGGUCGGAUUAGCUAGUUGGUGAGGUAAUGGCUCACCAAGGCUACGAUCCGUAACUGGUCUGAGAGGAUGAUCAGUCACACUGGAACUGAGACACGGUCCAGACUCCUACGGGAGGCAGCAGUGGGGAAUAUUGGACAAUGGGCGAAAGCCUGAUCCAGCCAUGCCGCGUGUGUGAAGAAGGUCUUCGGAUUGUAAAGCACUUUAAGUUGGGAGGAAGGGCAUUAACCUAAUACGUUAGUGUUUUGACGUUACCGACAGAAUAAGCACCGGCUAACUCUGUGCCAGCAGCCGCGGUAAUACAGAGGGUGCAAGCGUUAAUCGGAAUUACUGGGCGUAAAGCGCGCGUAGGUGGUUUGUUAAGUUGAAUGUGAAAUCCCCGGGCUCAACCUGGGAACUGCAUCCAAAA